rnacentral:lncRNA from 1 species
UGCCCCUUUUAAAAAUAGGCAUAACUUAUGCAUACCGAUGUCCAAACACACCACUAUAGUGACCCCUGGAAGUGGCAACAGGAUUAGCCCAGAUGGAAACAAACCUUGAGAGAUGGUUAGCUUCCCUGGUCCCUGAAGAGUCACAUGGGGAAACAAAAGUGGGGUGAUUCGAGGCGAGCACUGGGAGCCAAGAGAAUCAGGAAGAGAGUGUCUGCGGCGGAGUUCCCCUGAGACCUGCAUGCAUUUGCGCGCGCGCAUGCACACACACACACACACACACACAAAUACACACACGCUUCUUUCUCUCUUGGUCCUUUGCAGGCACCUGGGACAUCAUCCUAAGGUAGCACACCCUUGACCUCUCCUGGUGACACUGUGUCCUGGGCCACACAGCCUUGAUUGCCAGAGAAAUACGGAGGAGCAGGAGUCUUGGAUGGAGAGAGAGCUUGACCCACUGUCCACUACUUCAAGAAACGGGCAUAAGGUGGCAGCACUGGCAGUCCCUGCAUGUGCCUGAGGAAGCUUGGCCAAGGGCCAGGAUAAGUCGGGGAACCCUUGAGAGGAAGAGUUUGGGAAACCCAGCUUUAGAGUGAGCAACUACUCAGUAGGCCCUGGCUGGCCUCCUGCUGUGUAGAAGAAGCAGUACUGACACUUGGAAGGAUGUCACAAGUGUCACAAGCACAGGGCUGGCCAGAGUGACAUCACAAGACACUGCUGCUUCCAACCAUGGCACAGAGAGGCACAUACAGACGUGCAGGCGUCUUGUCCUCUCUUACCUACCCUGCCCAGUCUUCUCUGCGACAGAGACAGACAGAAAAGCCUGCCCAACUUGUUUGUUCUCUUUCUGUCUUUUUUCUAUUUUUUUCACCCCAAUUUUGUUGCUUGUCUAGUCUCUCGAAGGAAAUGCCUGCCACAAAUCCUCAUUGUCACCAGCAAGAUCUGUUGUGUCAUGUCAGUAGAGGCAGUUUGUUAGGU